GGCCUCUAUGAUUUUAGUUGACCCCUCCCUCUCUCUCUCUCUCUCUCUCUCUCUCUCUCCAUCUUUUCCUCGUCGAACAAAUUGCAGAUCUGAUUCUUUAGCUCACCGGAUGGAUGCCAAGCCCAAACCCUCUCAUCCUUUCUCAAUGCCGUCCCCGCCGCCCCUAGAUACCUCCGCGAUUGAGUAGCUCUAUCGCCGCCAGUCUUGCAAUCACGCGUGCCUCGCAGCACCACCCGCCCAGCGACCACGCGAACGACCAGUUGUGCGUCGCGCACAUGAUUGGGAACCUCUGCCGCGCCACAGCUUUCCAUUAAGCCCUUCAUCAAUAGCAGAGCCUCCGGUAUGCUCGCUACUUGUGUCACCCAACCCAUCGAUAUGAUCAAGGUGAGAAUUCAAUUGGGUCAAGGAUCAGCUGGACAAGUUACCAGGACCAUGAUCAAGGAGGAGGGUUUCGGUUCAUUGUAUAAGGUUCUUUUGUAGAGCAUCGUCCCAGACUUAUACUCAGGUUGGGGCUUCUUUGCUUCGCUUUAUCAAAGUCCUUCCUAUUAUUUAUCAAUUAGUGACUUGCAAAGGGAAGGGUUAUAUCAGUGGUUGCUUCGAAUAUAGCUAUUUGUUCAGAUAUAUAUAGCUCAUGGAAAUGAAAAACCAAGGCUUUUGAAUAGAAGAUGAGUAGAUACUUAAAGCCUUGAAGGUUGUGAUUGGAGAUAUUGGGAAUCAGAUUAAGCAACUAUAAACCUACAAGGUGCAGUAGAUUGAAUUACUUGACUAGAAUUGUUGAAUUGUAAUUUGUUACACUUUAGAAAUUUUUUUGUAUAUGUAUGGAUAUGAUAUUCUAAUUCAGUUAAGAUUGCAUUUGGUGGUGUAU